rnacentral:lncRNA from 1 species
GUUGCCAGCUGCCCCUCUCUCCUCCCACCAGGAGGGACUACAUCCCUGCAAACCACGGGCUAAAAUCGCAUCACUUUUGUAUCCCGUCACAGCGACAAGUAACGAGAUGUUCCAGUCCCAGAAGCUCUUUACAACAAGCACCGUGGUCAUGAAAACUGAACUAUUUGCUUUUGUCCCAGGGACCCCCCAAUGCUGCUUGCUCACAAGGAUACUGCUCCCUGUUACUGUCUGUGAUAAACACCGUGACCAAAAGCAGCAGCUUGGUGGUGAUUUGAAUGGCAAUGGCCUCCAAAGGCUCAUAUGUUGGAAUACUUGAUGGAACUGUUUGGGAAGGAUUAGGGCACACACCUUUAAUCCCAGCACUUGGGAGGCAGAGGCAGGCGGAUUUCUGAGUUUGAGGCCAGCCUGGUCUACAGAGCCGUUGCAAAAAAUAAAGGCAAGGUAGAAGAAUUGGAAUGUACCAGUAAAGGUACUGGCCAUGAUCUUACUAUGGCCCACAAAGGU